rnacentral:rRNA from 1 species
AGCUCCAGUAGCGUAUAUUAAAGUUGUUGCAGUUAAAAAGCUCGUAGUUGGAUUUCUGGUACGCUGCGCCUGGCCCGCCUCGGUUACGAGUGUGUGUGCCGGUGCGCGGUUGCCAUCCUUCUAGAAAACGCAGCUACCCUUCACUGGGCCGGCUGCUGUGAUCUAGAUCUUUUACUUUGAAAAAAUUAGAGUGUUUAAAGCAGGCUUUCGCUAUGAAUACAUUAGCAUGGAAUAAUAAUUUAGGACUUUGGUCUUAUUUUGUUGGUUAUAGGAUUGAAGUAAUGAUUGAUAGGGAUAGUUGGGGGUGCUAGUAUUGAAUGGCCAGAGGUGAAAUUCUUGGAUUCAUUCAAGACUAACUUAUGCGAAAGCAUUCACCAAGGAUGUCUUCUUUAAUCAAGAA